rnacentral:tRNA from 1 species
UCCCCGGUGGCUCAGAUGGUAAAGCGUCUGCCUACAACGCGGGAGACCCAGGUUCGAUCCCUGGGUCAGGAA